rnacentral:lncRNA from 1 species
GACACUCAGGGGUGAUUUAAUGCCUGAGAGUGGCAUCAAGGUCAGGAGCUCAGAGGCAUUGGAAACUCCUUAUUGUUCUCCCUGUACAAUGGUCCAAGCUGUGCCCAACAGUGGAGCACCUACAGGAACCGGCAGGAGCUGAAACCCAGCCUGGACCCAGACCGUGACUGUAAAUCGUCGCUGCCACCUUCAAGGGAAACGCACACACUUCCUGUCCCCUCUGUGCUGAGGUCUCAAAUGCAUGGAUCAUCCCGCAGAGACUUUAGUGGCCGAAGCCAGACUGCAGGGUGCCAAGAGUGUGGCUCUCAGGUGACCACACCUUUGAUGUGGGACUCUCAGAGAGUAGAGCUAUAGCCAGGUCAGGCAGGAGACGGGGUGUGUCUUAGCUGCCUUCGUUUUCCUAAGAAGAGACACCAGGACCAAGGUAACUGAUUUAAACCAGACAAACAGCAUUUGUUUGGGGUUCUCAGUUCCAGAGAGUUAGAGAGAAGGUCAUCCAUUGUUCUCCCCCAGCCAUCGUGGUUCUGACCCCUGUGCUAUGUAAUGUGUGUGCCAGGCACAGGCUGUUACAUCAGCUGGUCGGGGGCCUCUCUGGAGGGCUGGGAGGAACGUGGCCCUGGAGAGGCCCUUGGUUUCCUGUGCCCUAGCAGGGGAAACACCUGCUUGGCUUUUUUUUUUUUAAAUCCUUUGGUCUGCCUCUUCCUUGUGCUUGCCUUUUGGGUUUGUGCUUCUUACCUCCGGGCCUCAAGAUGGCUGCUCCAGCUCUGGCCUUUACAUUGUCAAAUGCAAACAAAGGCAGGAAGCAGUGCCUUAGAUAACAGGCUCAGAAAAAACUUUUCUUGUCUGUCUCUUUUCUUCUGUUAAUAGAAAAAAAAAAA